CCCUAUGGGGUGCAGCAGGCCGGUCAGUCGCUCGAUCUUUUACUUGCCUGAGGCGCGUUGCAAUCUGAGCAUAAGCACGAGAGAAAGAGUUUAUGAAUUCCUUUGAAUAUCAGAAUCCUGUGAAAAUUGUUUUCGGCGUGGGCACUUUUUCCCGCGUGGGCGAAGAGGCCGCGAAGCUGGGCAAAGUCGCGCUGGUCGUCUCCUAUGCAGAACAUGAACCUCUCGCAGACGUGCUCGAUCGCGCCUGUGCGCUGCUGGCGAAGGCCGGCGUAAAGGCAACGCCGUUCUACGAGGUCGAGCCGAACCCGGAAAUCGGCACGGUGGCUCGCGGCGUUGCCAAGGCCAAGUCGAUCAAGGCGGAUCUGGUGGUCGGAAUUGGCGGGAGGGC
rnacentral:rRNA from 1 species